rnacentral:lncRNA from 1 species
CUUCCGAGGGCACUGUAUUAGAAAGAACCGAGUACCCUGCAGUUAGAAAGAUGCUGCUUGACUUGGACAUCUCCCAUGGAUACAAGAGAGAAAUCAGCAAGUGUGCUUGGGGAGGUGCCACUACUGGAUGGGAAUCUGAGAGUUACCAAUGGCUUGAGUCCUCUAAGCUCUCUCUUCCUUCACUCUUCCCUCAACUCCCACACCUUCCAAUACACUCCUCACCAAGUAAGACUGCAAGGUGUAGACACACAUGGAUGGUGUGAACGUCAAAGGAGGGGCAGUUUCGGAUGAUGAGCUGACUCAAGUCCUGCAGCGUGGCCUGCUCCACAGGAGAGGGCCUAGGUUGAGACACCAAGAGCUGGCCCAGACGACGAAGUGCCACAGGGUAGUGAUGAGCUCGAACCUUGGUGGGGUUCUGACUCAGCCAUCGCAGCAGCUCCCCAGGGCUCCGUGCCUGCUCCAGAAGCCGUUGAAGGCCUUGCACAGGGCCUCCUCCAAAAGGCCGGUCCCCGGACUUGCUGGGUCCCAAACAACAGGGCUGUACUGGCGGGAUGAGCAGCAAACCAGACAGCCGAGCAGGGGAAGUCUGGGCAGAGAGCAGGAUUCGAAGCAUGGAGCUGGGUGGUGGAGACCCUGAGGGGGUGGCCCAGAAAACCGGGUGAGGUUUCCUCCAAGGGGAAAUAUGCUAUCUAGUCCUUACCCAACUCCCCAUCCAAAGGGCCUGAGGUAAAAAAAAAAAAAAAAAA